rnacentral:tRNA from 1 species
GGGUCAUGUAGUGUAAAUGGAUAACACACCACUUUUGCAAAGUGGAGUUGGGGUUCAAGUCCCACAUGUAUCCA